ACGGUAAACCUGAGUACCCUCUACCUGAGAAAUCCUGAAGAGUGUUGCCAUAAGUCAACAUUGAUUUGAGGGCACAUAAUUGUUGUUGUUGUUGUGUUCAAACAUUCUUACAUAUUCUCUUUUCCUCAAAAUAGUUGCCACUUACGUUUUUCCUAAAAUGAAUGAAUUUCAAGGGAGUACAGAGAGUAUGGAAAAGACCAGAAGCAGGAGAAACAGUGGAGAACAUCAGUUUCCCAAACAAGCAUUCAGAGACCUGAAUGACCCUACUGGAUGUGAUGGGUGGGAGUUGUAGUCCAGCACAUCUGGAAAAUGCCAGAUGGAAGACUGACAGGUGUUCAUACAGAUUGAGGACAUUGAGGAGCUUUCUGCCGUGAUCACGAGAGCAGAAAUUGGGGCCAGAGAAACCCCCCUAUAGCCUUAUCCAAUAUUGUUCCUUCACAAAAGCCUGCUUGAAAAAAAUCUGCAAAACUGAGUCUCUAGUUUCCUCUCAUUAAUUGGGUGUCUGUUGCGUUUGGGUGGGAAGGAAGGAGGUUCUACGGUGAUCAAGCAACAUGGCCAGGCAAAACAUAUUAAAAUGGAUAAAGGGAUUUUCUAGUGGUAUAAAUACCUGCACACGACUCCCUGUGCACCAUAACCCAUGUGAUGUAUAUAUGCAAGUGAAGAAAACUGGCCAUUGAGCUUGAACUGCUGUGAACUGCAACUGAUAGUUGGGAGAGAAAGCAAAU
rnacentral:lncRNA from 1 species